rnacentral:lncRNA from 1 species
CUAUGAUCCAGACAUAGCACUCCUGGGUUUGUACCCCAAAGAGAUAAUGGGGAAAAAGACUUGUACAAAAAUAUUCAUAGUCGUGCUCUUUGUGGUGGCCAAAAAUUGGAAAAUGAGGGGAUGCCCAUCAAUUGGGGAAUGGCUGAACAAAUUGUGGUAUAUGUUGGUGAUGGAAUACUAUUGUGCUCAAAGGAAUAAUAAAGUGGAAGAAUUCCAUGGGGACUGGAACAAUCUCCAGGAAUUGAUGCAGAGUGACAAGAACAGAACCAGGAAAACAAUGUACACAGAGACUGAUACACUGUGGUACAAUCGAAGGUAAUGGACUUCUCCAUUAGUGGCAAUACAGUGAUCCUGAACACCUAGGAGGAAUUUAUGAGAAAAACCACUAUCCACACCCAGAGGGAACAGUGUGGGAGUAAAAAUACCAAAGAAAAACAACUGCUUGAAUCCAUGGGUCAUAGGGAUAUGGUUGGGGAUGUAGACUCUAAAUGAACAUCCUAGUGUAAACAACAUGAAAAAUGGGUUCUGAUCAAGGACACAUGUAAUAACCAAUGAAAAUGUGUGUUGGUUGUGGGAGGAGUGGGAGGAGGGGAGAGAGGGAAAUAAUGUGAUUAUUAUAACCAAGGAAUAAUGUUCUAAAUUGACUAAACUCCUUCAAAUGAAAAAAUAAGGAAACUGAGUCUGAAAGAGUUUAAUAAGCAAGAGAAGCAAAGGCAUAGGUGAGAGAAUAGCAAUAAACCAGGGAUGAGGGGAGCCCUGGUGACAAAGAGGACACUGGAUUCUCUCUGUGGUCAAGGAGAGAUGGCAGUGAGAGGGGUAAAUUCACUCAGUUACCCAACUUCCUCUUAGGAGAGUACAGUGUCAAGGGUGACAAGCCUCACCUGGCUGAGAGUGAGGUUUGUUUGGGCCCCAUUGUCAUAGCAACAAGGGAAUGUUUGGUAACAGAGCCAGUGACUUCACAGAAGCUGGUCUUAAUUCCACAUUUCUGAAGCUCAGGGAAGAGCAGAGCCAGCCAGGAGAGAAUGUGGAGGCAGAGGAAGACAAUAGUUCCCUUGGAAGAGCUGUGACUAGGAGAAAAGUACUGUCCUGGAGCCGCUGUGAGCAGUCUUCACCACACCAUUCUCUUGGGCACACAUGGAUGUUUGCUUCAUUCAUUUACCUCCACCUUAAACACAUCCAUUCUCUUACAUUUGCCAUCUCCUCAUUUUUCUUUUGUGAGUAGAAAGCAUCAAUAAUAUAUGCAGGGGCAAGUUAUGCUGUAGGAUGAAACCUGCUUAAUGAUGGCUUCACCACUACCGUAUUUAUCUUCAUUUAUAUUCAUAUUUAUAGGUUAUCUCAUGUGAGAGGCUUAUUUCAGUGUUAGUAAUUUAGCCUUAACAUUUAAAUUCAAUCUUAAACCUCCUACUUCAUUUCCUAAAUUCAGAAUUACAUUUGGCUACAUUAUGCCCAUUUUGACAGUAUUUUGCCGUGUGGAGCGGUGUAAGCCAAGAAGCCAGAUUCAUCAGAACAACUGUUGCAUGUUCUAAAAUCCAGUAAAAUCGGUUUUAGAAUGGGUGGAAAUGUAAUGCUGCCGUUUGGACACAGGAUGGCAGACUAAAAUUGCAGUAUCUGAGAUGGCCACAAGAGGGCAAAAACCCUAAUUUUUUUUUUUUUUUGAAUUGCAGUAUCCUGGAGGGACACCAGAUGGAACCAGAAGACCAUGUUAUUUAAGUCAAUCAGUCAAAAACUGAAACCUUAAUUUAUAAUGAAAAAGUUUUUUAAAAAAAUAAACAAUCUAAAUGACUACUUUCCUGAGCCUGU